ensembl:lncRNA
GGAUUCUUUACCACUGAGCCGCCUGGAAAGCCCAACAGUGGCUUAAAUAAUACUAAAGUGCUUUUAAGUAUUAGAAACAAAGGACAUUUAAUGGUGGCACUGGUUUGAUGAUGGAAUGGUUUAGAGAAGUCAAGUGGGUGAUACAUCAGCCCAUGGACAAACAGCAGCAGGGGGUACUAUCUCCUUAUAGAACAAAUGGAGGAUGCAGUGUUCCUCAAACUCAGGGUUGGUAUCACAAAAGAAAUCAGCCAGAGGUGCCACCAAGGCAGAGGGAGAAAUACCCUGGUUUCUUCCUUCUAACAAAGGCAGGUCACAGGAGAGCUUGAGGAAUAAAUAGCCCAUGGGGUUUGAGAAGUGCAAAGAGGCAGUGAGUGCAUCUGAGAUCAUCAAACUCUGGACCAGCAUUCUAAUUGGUGGAACUAAGGGAAAUAUAAUUGACUAGCAAGUCAGAUUUAAGGUAAUUCAAGACAAGUCUGAAUCCUGAAAAUAUUGUGAUGAUCAAUUAUCUUAAUUGUAUUUUCUCAGAGCUUCAGAACCAUCACUAACAAAAAGAGAGCUGUCAAAGAUGGAGACUUAUUCCUUAAACCCGUCUCAGUUUACUAUAGGAUGAAAGAAGUUAAGGCCAGUGCCGCCGGCUCCUGUUUUUUUUUUUUUUUGUCUUUCCACUGAUACCAUUAAAACAGAAUUACCAGUUUGGUGGUGUCAGUAUCUUCACGAUAGACUUUGCCAAAGAAAAUUUCAAGUGGAAGAAACAUCCUGCUUCUCCAAGCACAGAUGAACCCCCAAGGAGUGGAACUGGUUUUGUGAAGGAAGUGUCACAUGCACCAGUUACUGGAAAAGGAAUACCAAAAGCAGACACCUUUGUGAAUGGUCCAGCACUGGAGAAAAUUCUUCAGACUAAAUGACAAUAACAGAAGUCUGAAAUUUUCACUCUAAACAGAAAUCUACAGAUACCUGUAUGCCCUGCAAACCACAUCUGAAGAUGCUUCUGCAUGAUCAUAAAUAAGGAUUCCUAACUUGCUGAAGAGGACCAGAUCAAAAACCACCCCACUGUGUUGAGUUUGAAUUCUAGCCAAGCACCAGCAGCCUUCUUCUUGAAUUUACUUUAUACUUUAUUUGUUUGAUAAUUUUUAUUCACUUUCAGUUUGUGAAAAAGUGAGAGGAAGAUAUAAUUCUUUGGUCAAAGAAUAACAUAACAUUGGUCAAAACUAUUGAUGCAAGUGACAACUCAAACUUGCUUAAGUAAAAAUGUAAAUUUAGUGGGCUAACAUAAGUGAGAUUUUUCAUGGUAAAUCUUCAUGGAUCUGGGAUUAAAAUGAUACGGGCUUACACUGUCUUCCUCUCUUUUCCUGCACAUUGUGGGGGGAAAAUGGCCCCCACAACUUAGGAACCCCAACCGAAAGACACAGCUCUUCCAUAAUAGCUAUGAAAGCAGAGUCCCAUGAACUUUGAGGUGAAAUGCUACCCGCUACCCUUCAGUCUCACUGAAACUGAUUCAAGUAUCCUCUUUUGUGACCAAAGUAGGUGGAGUAACUCACUCCCCACAGGAAAAGGGACUUCUCUCACCAGUAGCAUAGUAGGAUACACAGAGAACUACUCAUUGUCUACCUAGGAAAAACACACUCUUGACCCCACAGAUGUGAACCUGGUGUGCUGAACAAGUGUGAUGUAACGAGUGUGAUUACAGUGACAAUUAAGAUAUGUCUCCUACCUUGGCUUUGAAAUGUACUCUGUUCAGGUCAUCUCUUUGUUUCAUAAGAAUCCUUGAGCAGACUCAUGAGUUUUAUGGUUACUCACAGAAAAUAAAAGUCCUUCAGAUGUCACCAGAUCUCUAAAGUUCGCUUAGAGUUAUGGGCACAUCCACUGCUGGACUUGUCAAACACCCAAGAAAGACAAACUGGAUGGAAUGAAUUCUGUCAUGGGCUCUAUUACCUAAGGUUGGGCAUUCGAAGGUUUAAGUUUGCUAAGUUGGCUAUUUUGCCUGUAUUUCCAGCCCCAGGCAGAAGACAUGGACACGCAAGCCUGAAAAACUCCGCUAAACCAACCAGGGAGCUCUGGGACUCUGGUGGGAGCCAAGGCAGUCCAUCAGCUACCCUAUAGUGAGGCCCUGGUCCUGUAUGAAGCACCCCCAGCAUUUGGAGGAUGGAUAACUGCUGUAAUGGUCAUUAGCGACAUCAACAUCAACCACUGCAGAGAAACGACCCAGCAGAGCCAUAUCCCACCCCAAUUCUGGGUACAUUUUUUAAAAAGUCACAAAAAAUUAUAAAGCAUCUAUUAAAAAAUUAUGUAUAAUCUGUUUUGUUUUCUGAUACAUGAAGGAUUUAUUGUUGUUAUUCUCUGAUUUCUUACCAAUUAAAAUUAUCAAAUAGCAUAGCUAAUAGCG